rnacentral:lncRNA from 1 species
GGCACGAGGCCAUUGCUACCUGGAAGGAAGGAUUUUGAUCAGACUGCAGAAGAUGAACAGGCAGGAGAGCUGAAAGAAUGAAAGGCUGAGGCAAAUGGCAAGGUAGCAAGAGCAUCACAUUUGGACCUCUGACUGCGAGGACUGUAAAGCACGUUCAUGAACCACAAAGCAGAUGGAUUUGGAGGUAUGUUGUACCAACAACUCAGAGCAACAGAGUACUUGCCUGGGCAGAAUUACAAACCACAACGUGAAUAAUUUGGUGAGUUUUACUAAAAAGAUUUGCUGUUUUUCUUCCCAGGAACUGUGCAAUUUUCUGUGCACAGGAGAAAUUCUCAUUUCUACUUCAAUGGCAGGGUGCAUUGUCACCUUACAGGAGCAGGUACUGACUGUUGCUUCUGAUUUGGGGGGCUCAAAUCCAUGCAAUUUUCAUCUGGGCUGGGUUCUCGUAGGUGGACUGUUCAUCAUGGCUCUAGAUUUUCAAAAUAAAUUAGCAGUUUUGGAUCCCUUAUAUUUGCAUUUGAGACACUUUGAAAAGGGAACAAUUGCCGGAGAGCCAGGUGUUUAG